GUGCUGGCUUCAGCAGCACAUAUACUAAAAUUGAAGAAAUACAAAGCAGAUUAGCUAGCAUAGGCCCUGGGGAAGGAUGACAUGCAAAAAAGGUAAAAAUAAAAUAAAAAU
ensembl:snRNA U6 U6 spliceosomal RNA